GUGCCAGCAGCCGCGGUAAGACGGAGGGUGCAAGCGUUAAUCGGAAUUACUGGGCGUAAAGGGCGCGUAGGCGGCUUAGUCAGUCGGAUGUGAAAGCCCCGGGCUUAACCUGGGAACUGCAUUCGAUACUGCUAAGCUAGAGUAUGGAAGAGGGAAGUGGAAUUCCGGGUGUAGCGGUGAAAUGCGUAGAUAUCCGGAGGAACACCAGUGGCGAAGGCGACUUCCUGGUCCAAUACUGACGCUGAUGUGCGAAAGCGUGGGGAGCAAACAGGAUUAGAUACCCUGGUAGUCCACGCCCUAAACGAUGUCAACUAGCCGUUGGGUUCAUUUAAGGACUUAGUGGCGCAGCUAACGCGAUAAGUUGACCGCCUGGGGAGUACGGUCGCAAGAUUAAAACUCAAAGAAAUUGACGG
rnacentral:rRNA from 1 species